rnacentral:rRNA from 1 species
UACGAAGGGGGCUAGCGUUGUUCGGAAUUACUGGGCGUAAAGCGUGCGCAGGCGGCUUCUCAAGUCAGGGGUGAAAGCCCAGAGCUCAACUCUGGAAUUGCCUUUGAGACUGAGUGGCUUGAGUACGAGAGAGGUGAGUGGAAUUCCCAGUGUAGAGGUGAAAUUCGUAGAUAUUCGGAAGAACACCAGUGGCGAAGGCGGCUCACUGGCCCGGUACUGACGCUGAUGUGCGAAAGCGUGGGGAGCAAACAGG